UGACCUCAGCUUAGACGAGAUUACCCGCUGAACUUAAGCAUAUUGCUAAGCGGUGGAAAAGAAACCAAAUUGGAUUCCCUGAGUAGCGGCGAGCGAAACGGGACUUGCUCAGCGCCGAAGCUUUCAGUGUGUCGCGCAUUGAACGCGGUGUGGUGCUUGAUCUUGGCGGUCGUGAUCGUCGGCACGCUGUCGUAGGCUCCCUUGAUUGGGACGUCGAAGCGGGCGCAAGACCCAUGACGACGGUUGCCGUGGUCAAUGCUUUGCCAAGAAGUCGAGUCGGGCUGUUUGGGAGUACAACCCAAAGCGGAUGGUAUAUCGCAUCUAAGGCUGAAUAUGACUACGAGACCGAUAGUGAACAAGUACCGCGAGGGAAAGUUGAAAAGAACUCUGAAGAGAGAGUUAAAAAGGACGUGAAACCGUUCAAAAGAAAACUGACGGAGCUGUCGUUGUCAGACGGUUGGCAAUCAAUCGCGGUCAGCGUGGCCGAGUCGUCGGCGUCGCUUGACCGGCCGCAGUUGUUUUCGCUGCGGACGGCGGCGGUGACGAUUGACCUGAGAAUCGGCUGCGAGCGAUGCAUUUGUCGACUGCAGGCGCCAUGAGCAGCGCGCGGCAGUUGCGCGUCAAGGCCUGGCCGCUUCGCUAUGACGCGAUCGUCUUGGACGGAUUUUCUUUCCAUUGGCGAUCGGUCGGCGGCGCAAGGUCCACCAUUCAAGGCAACGGUCAUUGCCGGCGCUGUUUUUAUGGCUGCGGCCGCGGUUGCCCGUCAAGCUUGGUGUGCCAAGCUUCAUGGGCGAACUUGCAUUGCGACGGCGGCAGUGUUGGCCAAGUGCGUUUUCGGCGUGGAUCAUUUUGACCGGUCGUUUAAUUUUCAGCCUGCAAAGGUUGGGUUGGCGAUUUGCAUGGUCUCGUCGGAACGCAGCUGCUGUUGUUCAAUGUCGGCACCCGUUGGCUGCCGUUCUGUGGCGUUUUCGUGACGGUCACCCGUCAGACCCGUCUUGAAACACGGACCAAGGAGUGCAGCAGUUGCGCGAGUCAUUGGCACGUUUUGACGGUCAAAGGCGUAACGAAAGUGACCCGUUUAUUAAAGGGUGCGUAGAGCCGGAAAGCCUUCACGGGCGCUCUGGCGUAUACGGGAGCCGUUCGAAUCGGAAUUGCCGGUGGCCCUGGUUGCCGCCGGUGACCGAUGCAACGGAUUCGGAGCGCGCAUGCUGCUACCCGAAAGAUGGUGAACUAUGCCUGAGCAGGAUGAAGCCAGAGGAAACUCUGGUGGAAGUUCGAAGCGGUGUUGACGUGCAAAUCACUCGCUUGACUUGUGCAUAGG
rnacentral:rRNA from 1 species